UCUCAACAACGGAUAUCUUGGCUCCCGUAACGAUGAAGAACGCAGCGAAAUGCGAUACGUAGAGAGAAUUGCAGAAUUCCGUGAACCAUCGAAUCUUUGAAAGCAAAUUGCGCUCGAGGCCUCGGCCAAGAGCAUGUCUGCCUCAGCGUCGGCUACUACCC
rnacentral:rRNA from 1 species